rnacentral:misc_RNA from 1 species
AAGUCGUAACAAGGUUUCCGUAGGUGAACCUGCGGAAGGAUCAUUAGCGAAUUAGGAAGGGCGCCGCUUUCGAGCGUGUUUUCGCCCUUCACUCUUCGUCACCCUGUGCACCGAGCCCUUUUUUAAACGCAGUCUCGUCGAGGAUGUUUAAAAGUGAAAAACCUAUA